AAUAAAUAAAUAAAAUAUUGCCUUCGAUAAAAGUUUAAUACGGUCGUAAUCGACAAACAGACGUGUCCAGUGUAACCAAAAAUAACCCUCCGCCACGUCUGUAUCGUAGCCAUUAUUACAGACGUUUAUAAUAAUCGAUGAAAUUUAGUCACAUUUACUACGUAGCAGUUUUACCGGGACCAUCAAUCCGAGGUGUAAUUACGCCUGGUUCGUCGCUAAAAUCACGGUGUCGUU